CGCGUAGGCGGUUUGCACAGUUGGGCGUGAAAUUCCUGGGCUUAACCUGGGGGCUGCGUUUGAUACGUGCGGGCUAGAGUGGGGAAGAGGGUUGUGGAAUUCCCAGUGUAGAGGUGAAAUUCGUAGAUAUUGGGAAGAACACCGGUGGCGAAGGCGGCGACCUGGUCCUUGACUGACGCUGAGGCGCGAAAGCGUGGGGAGCAAACAGGAUUAGAUACCCUGGUAGUCCACGCUGUAAACGAUGUGUGCUGGAUGUUGGGGGGCAUAGCCCUUCAGUGUCGAAGCUAACGCGCUAAGCACACCGCCUGGGGAGUACGGCCGCAAGGUUGAA
rnacentral:rRNA from 1 species